GUAGAACAAGGACAAAGGGUACAUCUUUCCAAUAAUUACAAAUAAAUUCAACCACAUGGCUUUUUAAGUCCUACAUGAUUUGUUCAAUCAUAAUUCUCAUCGAAACAAGUCUGCCAUUGCAACCGGCAUGGAAAAUAAAAUGCCAUACAUUAUUCCUUCUCUGCAACUUACAUUAGAAUUUAGCAUUUCACCAACUAAAGAAAGUAUUUGCUAAACCAUGGGCCUUCAAAAUAUGGUAAUCUUUCAGGGAAAAAUGGUUUUCGCAUUUCCCAAGGAUCUUUCAUAGUCUGUGAGAAAGAGUUCCAAAUUUUUCAAUAAAAAUUAACUGUCCAUGAUGAAGAGGGUUCAUAUAUAGAUAAGACUUCUCAGCUCAUCUUGUCUUCUCGUGCGAAAGCCCAGUAUUCUCUACUUGUAAGGGAAUCACAUCAUAAAUUGUUUCACAUUGAUUUAAGAUCAAUCAUCUCUGACCUCAAAAGACUUUUCUUUGUUCAUGCAGAACCCUUCGUUAAUGCAGCUUCAGGAUUCUGUCGGUGCUGUUCCCUCUGAAACAAAUAUAAGUCGAUCAAUAAAAAAAUCUCUUAAAUAGUCAAACAUAUGGCUCAAUCGGUCAAAGGAGACAUAUAUGCCAAAACCUCAACAAGAUAACAAAAAUUAUACAUUGGUCACAAUCCAAUGCUGCUAGUUCCCUGUUAGUGAUCAGCUUGGCAUGUUGCUUGCACAAUAAAUGGGUCAUAUAAUGACCUACUUCUUAAUAAUUAGUAAAAUGAUUUGAAAAAACAUGAUUUGAACUGGACCACCAGACCAACUCAACAGUGCUUGUUCCAGUUUAGGUUUGGGAAGGGAGGGACCUAAAAGGGUUCCCGUCCUGGGUUUGACUGUACCGAUCCUGGUUCCAACCCAGACCAUGGUAAAGUUCUACUUGUGUGCAUUUGAAUCAAAUGGCUCACCUAAUAUCAAUUAGUAUAAUGUAGCGCAAUCCAUGAAAGCACAAAAAUAU
rnacentral:misc_RNA from 1 species